rnacentral:lncRNA from 1 species
CCACUGAGAUCCAGUGGCUACAUGGAUUAGAGCUAUUAAGAUGUUGGUCUAAGUCACAAGAGUUUUGGAGACCGGAAAUACUUGAUUUCAGUAGAUGAAUUUAAACUUAUCUGAAGCUGCUUCUCCCCGCUCCUUCUUGGCGCUCGCCCACGGCGCUCCAGGCCACCUCUGAUGUGGGGCAGACACCAGGGAAAGAGCCACGGCGGGAGCCUCCCCACAUUGCUCAGGGGUCACACCUCAGC